rnacentral:tRNA from 3 species
GGGUUCAUAGCUCAGUUGGUCAGAGCGCCUGCCUUACAAGCAGGAUGUCGGGGGUUCGAAUCCCUCUGGACCCA